rnacentral:rRNA from 1 species
CCGUAUAUCUCUAAGGAUCGCAUGACUUCCUUAGAUAGGAAAGAGUUGGUUCUGCUAUCGUCUUUUAGAGUCGGACCCGCGGCGUAUUAACUAGUUGGUGGGGUAACGGCCUACCAAGGUGAUGAUACGUAGCCGAACUGAGAGGUUGAUCGGCCACAUUGGGACUGAGACACGGCCCAAACUCCUACGGGAGGCAGCAGUAGGGAAUCUUCCACAAUGGACGCAAGUCUGAUGGAGCAACGCCGCGUGAGUGAAGAAGGUCUUCGGAUCGUAAAACUCUGUUGUUAGAGAAGAACACGAGUGAGAGUAACUGUUCAUUCGAUGACGGUAUCUAACCAGCAAGUCACGGCUAACUACGUGCC